rnacentral:rRNA from 1 species
ACCGCGUGCAGGAUGAAGGCCCUAGGGUUGUAAACUGCUGUCACGUCCAUAGGAAUGCCAUGUCGUUAAUAGCUUCAUGGUUGACCAAAUGCGAGAGGAAGCACCGGCUAACUACGUGCCAGCAUCCGCGGUAAUACGUAGGGUGCAAAACGUUGUUCGGAAUCACUGGGCAUAAAGCGCACGUAGGCGGCCAAGUCAGUUCGGUGUGAAAGCCCUCGGCUCAACCGGGGAACUGCAUCGGAUACUGCUUGGCUUGAGGAUGGCUUGGGGUGAGUGGAACUCCUGGUGGAUGCGGUGAAAUGCGUAGAUAUCAGGAGGAACACCAGUGUGCGAAAGCGAUCUCACUGGACCAUAUCUGACG